ACACGUAGGGAGCAAGCGUUGUCCGGAUUUAUUGGGCGUAAAGAGCUCGUAGGCUGUUCAGUAAGUCGGGUGUGAAAACUUAGGGCUCAACCCUGAGACGCCACUCGAUACUGCUGUGACUAGAGUCCGGUAGGGGAGCGUGGAAUUCCUGGUGUAGCGGUGAAAUGCGCAGAUAUCAGGAGGAACACCAGCGGCGAAGGCGGCGCUCUGGGCCGGAACUGACGCUGAGGAGCGAAAGCGUGGGUAGCAAACAGGAUUAGAUACCCUGGUAGUCCACGCCGUAAACGUUGGGCACUAGGUGUGGGACCUUAUCAACGGGUUCCGUGCCGUAGCUAACGCAUUAAGUGCCCCGCCUGGGGAGUACGGCCGCAAGGCUAAA
rnacentral:rRNA from 1 species